rnacentral:rRNA from 1 species
UACGUAGGGUGCGAGCGUUGUCCGGAAUUAUUGGGGGUAAAGGGCUCGUAGGCGGUUUGUCGCGUCGGGAGUGAAAUCCACUGGCUUAACUGGUGGCUUGCUUUCGAUACGGGCAGACUGGAGGUAUGCAGGGGAGAACGGAAUUCCUGGUGUAGCGGUGAAAUGCGCAGAUAUCAGGAGGAACACCGGUGGCGAAGGCGGUUCUCUGGGCCUUACCUGACGCUGAGGAGCGAAAGCGUGGUGAGCGAACAGG